rnacentral:lncRNA from 10 species
GAAAAUGGCCUGUUCCUGCCUUUGCUGAUGACAUUACCUUGUGAAAUUCCUUCUCCUGGCUCAUCCUGGCUCAAAAGCUCCCCUGCUGAGCACCUUGUGACCCCCCCACAGGUCACAAUAAUUAUCCCAAAAUUAACUGAAGAUGCCCACUGUUACUUCUGUUUAACCAUGUGUUAACCAUGUAGUUAUGGGAACUACAAUGACGUUCACUACCUUAGAGAAACUUACAAUCUUGGGCCAGGUGCCGCACUUCACAACUAUAAUCCUAGCACUUUGGGAGGCCGAGGAGGCUGAAUCACCUGAGGUCAGGAGCUCGAGACCAGCCUGGCUAACAUGGUGAAACCCCAUCUCUACUAAAACUACAAAAAAUUAGCUGC